UCCCACUCAGGGUUGCAUCUGGAGAAUUUCCAGUACUUUACCAGUCUCGACUAUGGGAGGAAGAGUAAAGCAGAGGCAUAUCCAUUCCAUUCCUAGCUUGGGCAGUGGCUAGAGAGUGAAAGGAAAUCUGCUACAAGU